rnacentral:rRNA from 1 species
GAUGAACGCUGGCGGCGUGCCUAAUACAUGCAAGUCGAGCGAACGGACGAGAAGCUUGCUUCUCUGAUGUUAGCGGCGGACGGGUGAGUAACACGUGGAUAACCUACCUAUAAGACUGGGAUCACUUCGGGAAACCGGAGCUAAUACCGGAUGAUAUUUUGAACCGCAUGGUUCAAAAGUGAAAGACGGUCUUGCUGUCACUUAUAGAUGGAUCCGCGCUGCAUUAGCUAGUUGGUAAGGUAACGGCUUACCAAGGCAACGAUGCAUAGCCGACCUGAGAGGGUGAUCGGCCACACUGGAACUGAGACACGGUCCAGACUCCUACGGGAGGCAGCAGUGGGGAAUCUUCGGCAAUGGGCGAAAGCCUGACGGAGCAACGCCGCGUGAGUGAUGAAGGUCUUCGGAUCGUAAAACUCUGUUAUUAGGGAAGAACAUAUGUGUAAGUAACUGUGCACGUCUUGACGGUACCUAAUCAGAAAGCAACGGCUAACUACGUG